GACGAACGCUGGCGGCGUGCUUAACACAUGCAAGUCGAACGCUGAAGACCUGGCUUUUGUUGGGUUGGAUGAGUGGCGAACGGGUGAGUAACACGUGAGUAACCUGCCCUCUUCUUUGGGAUAACGCCCGGAAACGGGUGCUAAUACUGGAUAUUCACUGGCCUUCGCAUGGGGGUUGGUGGAAAGGGUUGUUCUGGUGGGGGAUGGGCUCGCGGCCUAUCAGCUUGUUGGUGGGGUGAUGGCCUACCAAGGCUUUGACGGGUAGCCGGCCUGAGAGGGUGACCGGUCACCUUGGGACUGGGAUACGGCCCAGACUCCUACGGGAGGCGGCAGUGGGGAAUAUUGCACGAUGGGCGAAAGCCUGAUGCAGCGACGACGCGUGAGGGGUGGAGGCCUUCGGGUUGUAAACCUCUUUCGCUCAUGGUCAAGCCGCAACUGUGGGUUGUGGUGAGGGUAGUGGGUAAAGAAGCGCCGGCUAACUACGUG
rnacentral:rRNA from 1 species